CCUACGGGAGGCAGCAGUAAGGAAUAUUGGUCAAUGGACGCAAGUCUGAACCAGCCAUGCCGCGUGAAGGAUGAAUGCCCUCUGGGUUGUAAACUUCUUUUAUAGGGGACGAAAAAGGGUCUUUUUAGAUCAACUGACGGUACCCUAGGAAUAAGCACCGGCUAACUCCGUGCCAGCAGCCGCGGUAAUACGGAGGGUGCAAGCGUUAUCCGGAUUUACUGGGUUUAAAGGGUGCGUAGGUGGGUUGGUAAGUCAGCGGUGAAAUCUUCGAGCUUAACUCGGAAACUGCCAUUGAUACUAUCAGCCUUGAAUAUCCUGGAGGUGAGCGGAAUAUGUCAUGUAGCGGUGAAAUGCUUAGAUAUGACAUAGAACACCAAUUGCGAAGGCAGCUCACUACGGGAUUAUUGACACUGAGGCACGAAAGCGUGGGGAUCAAACAGGAUUAGAUACCCUGGUAGUCCACGCCCUAAACGAUGGAUACUCGACAUUUGCGAUAUACAGUAAGUGUCUGAGCGAAAGCAUUAAGUAUCCACCUGGAAGUACGAAUCGCAAGNUAGAACUUACAAGUUGAGUUGACGGCGNGAGACGNGACGACGGACGACGACGAGGGAGGAGG
rnacentral:rRNA from 1 species